rnacentral:rRNA from 1 species
AUGGGAGACGGUGGAAGCCCUCGCGACAGUGAAUGUUGGCGAGGCGGAGUCACAUUCUCCGAUGCCCCGUAUGUUGCAGCAGUCGAGCACCGCAACUACAUCAUGGUGGACAUCACCGGCUCCUCCGAGGACGAAUCCAUCAUUGAUCUCAUGUUCACCGACAGUGUGAAGGUUCUGGACUCUGACAAGAAAGACUGCGGCCACGCCGAUCCUUCGAGUCCACCGCCGGCGGCCACGACAGCUCCAAGGCCCCACAGGAUCAACAUCCUGAGCCUUCGGCUCCGCCUGGCGGGGCGAGUCCAUAGGAGCAUGAGCAAGAAGAAGAAGCUCUCCGCCGGGUUCCCGGCGCAGGAGGAGGUCUCAGCGCUGCUACCGCCGCCGGAGAGAGCGUCGGCGGAGGAGGAGGCACGGCCGGAGGAGUUCAACCGGGUGUUCCUCACGUACGCGAGCUCGCUCGACGAGCGGUUCGACGGCUUCGGCGAGCAAUUCAGCUGCAUGGAAUUCAAGGGGAGAAGGGUGCCCGUUCUUGUGCAGGAGCAGGGGAUUGGCAGGGGAGACCAGCCCAUCACUUUCGCUGCCAAUCUCCUCAGCUACAGGUCGGCAGGAAACUGGAGCACCACGUAUGCUCCGUCCGGCGCGGUCGUCGGCAUGCAGGGCGGCACGGACGCCGUCCGCCGUGUGUGGAGCCAGCUGCGAGACCACGACGUCCCGGUCUCCGCACUCUGGCUGCAGGAUUGGGUUGGGCAGAGGAAGACGGCGAUCGGGUCGCAGCUCUGGUGGAACUGGGAGGUCGACGACGAUCACUACGCCGGCUGGAAGGAUCUUAUACGCGACCUCAGGUGCGACGGCGUGAGGACGAUGACAUACUGCAAUCCCUGCCUCGUCCCGAUGGGUGAGAAGGGGAACGCGAGGAGGCACCUGUACGAGGAGGCCAAGGAGCUGGGGAUCCUGGUGAGGGACGAGGCCGGCGAGCCAUACAUGAUGCCCAACACGGCGUUCGACGUGGCAAUGCUGGACUUCACCAACCCGGAGGCGAGCUCCUGGUUCAAGGGCAUCCUGCGCGGGAUGGCGGACGAAGGCGUCAGCGGCUGGAUGGCCGACUUCGGGGAGGGCCUCCCGCUGGACGCGCGGCUCCACUCGGGGGAGGACCCCGUGGCGGCGCACAACCGGUACCCGGAGCUGUGGGCGCGCGUCAACCGGGAGUUCGCCGACGAGUGGAAGUCGGAGGCCGGCGAGGACGAGGAGGAAGGGGUGGUGUUCUUCGUGCGGGCGGGGUUCAGGGAGAGCUCCAGGUGGGCGAUGCUCUUCUGGGAGGGGGACCAGAUGGUGAGCUGGCAGGCCAACGACGGCAUCAAGAGCAGCGUCGUGGGCCUGCUCAGCGGCGGCCUCUCCGGCAUCCCGCUGAACCACAGCGACGCCGGCGGGUACUGCACCGUCGACCUUCCGCUCCUGCGCUACCGACGGAGCGAGGAGCUCCUCAUGCGCUGGAUGGAGGUGAACGCCUUCACCGUCGUCUUCCGCACCCACGAGGGGAACAAGCCCGGGUCCAACUGCCAGUUCUACUCCAACAGCCGGAUCCUCGCGCAUUUCGCGCGCUGCGCCAAGAUGUACAAAGCCUGGGAGUUCUACCGCGUCCAGCUCGUCGAGGAGGCGGCGGAGAAGGGCCUCCCCGUGGCGCGCCACCUAUUCCUGCACUACCCGGAGGACCGGCGCGUGCAGGAGCUGACGUACCAGCAGUUCCUGGUGGGGACGGAGAUGAUGGUGGUGCCGGUCCUGGACAAGGGCAGGACCGCGGUGACCGCCUACUUUCCGACGUCGGACGGGGGGUCGUGGAGGCACGUGUGGACCGGCGAAGAGUUCGGCGGUGGGCACAGGAGCGGGCACGGUAGCGUGGGGGAGGCGACGGUGCACGGGUUCCAGGCCGAGGUCACCGCCGACGUGGGCUGCCCAGCCGUGUUUGUGAGGGUUGGGUCACCCGUUGGGGAAAGGCAGUCUGGUUACAUAUACAAGGAGCAGCCUACAUGCAGGGCACGAUCACACGAGGUGGCGCUAGACUAG